CAGAAACACUCAACGAAUAAGCGGAAGACCACGAGUUGCACUAGUGCCGGGGAUGUGACUAAAGUUAGUCUUACAAGUAUCACGAAACCCGAGGUUACUGUUGCUAAAAGAAUUGUUUUGAGCAAGGAUCCACUCACAAAAGUAGGGGGCAUGAACUUGGAAUUGGUUUCUGGGAAGUAUUAAUUCAUGUGGUAAUAGUACGGGAUGAGGUUUUGAUAAGACCCUAUGGACGAUAUAAAACAAUUGGGGAUGCUAUUGGAACGAGUAUUGUUUGGCCCUCUAUUUUGUGUAAGGUUUAAGAAGAGAUGGAUUGAGCUAAAUGAAAGGACCUCUCUCUCUCUCUUGUAAAUAUUUUAUAUUUUGUGCAUGAGUUCAGGAUUGAUGUGUGAUUGGUUUUGGAUAGAAAGUGUUUGACUCUAAUUUUGUAAUUUGGAUUGACUUAAGAUCCAAUGCAUAUGAUAGGUUGGGUUACUAACAACAAGUUAGCCAACAUGAUUUACUCUUGUUCUUAUCAAUUUUCUUUAUAACUCAAUGCAACUCUUGUUCUUUCUAUAUUUCUUUACAAGAUUAAUCGGAGGGCGUUUACCUUUUUUAGCGUGUUUUUUGAGGCAGUGUUAGAUGAUGGAAGCCAAGCGAAGGAGAACAACUACAUUUAUGUAAGUUUUGUUGUUGUUAUUCUUGGUACAUAUUUGUAGUAUUAUAAGUCUUAAGCUCCAUUUGGUCAUCACAUCAAUCUUGAUGAAUAUAAUUUUUCAUCAAACCAAAUGGAUCUUAAACACUUUUUUUAACU